CAGCCGCCACGGGAACACGAAGGGUGCAAGCGUUAAUCGGAAUUACUGGGCGUAAAGCGCGCGUAGGCGGCUUUUUAAGUCAGAGGUGAAAGCCCGGGGCUCAACCCCGGAAUUGCCUUUGAAACUGGAAAGCUAGAAUCUUGGAGAGGUCAGUGGAAUUCCGAGUGUAGAGGUGAAAUUCGUAGAUAUUCGGAAGAACACCAGUGGCGAAGGCGACUGACUGGACAAGUAUUGACGCUGAGGUGCGAAAGCGUGGGGAGCAAACAGGAUUAGAUACCCCUGUAGUCCCUGUCUCUUAUAC
rnacentral:rRNA from 1 species